UACGUAGGCAGCAAGCGUUGUUCGGAAUUACUGGGCGUAAAGAGUGUGUAGGCGGUGUUCUAAGUCUGUUGUGAAAUCUCCCGGCUUAACUGGGAGGGUGCGGCGGAAACUGGAAUGCUAGAGGAUGGGAGAGGUAAGCGGAAUUCCUGGUGUAGCGGUGAAAUGCGUAGAUAUCGAGAGGAACACCUGCGGCGAAGGCGGGUUGCUGGGCCGACACUGACGCUGAUGCGCGAAAGCCAGGGGAGCGAACGGG
rnacentral:rRNA from 1 species